rnacentral:rRNA from 1 species
AAUGAACGCUGGCGGCGUGCUUAACACAUGCAAGUCGAGCGAGGCCUUGGGGGGCAACUCCCAGAGUCGAGCGGCGGACGGGUGAGUAACACGUGGGUAACCUGCCCGGGAGUGGGGAAUACCUCGGGGAAACUCGAGCUAAUACCGCAUGACAUCUUUGGGACGAAAGUCCUGACGAUCAAAGCGGGGUCGCAAGAUCUCGCGCUACCGGAUGGGGCCCGCGCCCGAUUAGCUAGUGGUGAGGUAACGGCUCACCAAGGCUUCGAUCGGUAACCGGCCUGAGAGGGCGAUCGGUCACACCGGAACUGAGACACGGUCCGGACUCCUACGGGAGGCAGCAGUGGGGAAUCUUGCGCAAUGGGCGAAAGCCUGACGCAGCAACGCCGCGUGGAGGAUGAAGG